rnacentral:lncRNA from 1 species
GACCCCAUUCCAUGGGCUGGGACCAACCCAACCCAACCCAACGUUGGCCAACCCCAACCAGGCGCCGACCUCUCUCCGUCCCCUUCCCCCAGGAGCACAAAGCCAAGGUGACGGCGCUGGAGGAGCGCGUGGCCCAAGCGAAGACGCGCUACUCAGUGGCCCUCCGCAACCUGGAGCAGAUCAGCGAGCAGAUCCACGCCCGCCGCCUCCAACGCCUCGUCCUCCGCCGCGCUUCGCCGGUGGGCGCCGAAUCCGGUAGAAGGGCGAAGGGCGAUGUUGGCCGGCUUUGGUUCGCCGAAGAAGAGCGUCCGUUGGGUUUCGGUUGGGUUGGCCAAGGCUCUACCGGCAGUGCCGGCUUCUUGGGCGGCCAAAAACGAGGGGAAAAAAAACCCGAAUUUGGGCGCCGUGGGGGGGUGUGUUUGCCACCGAAACAUCACGUUUUGGGUGUCCCAUCUGCUCGUUGGCCAAAAUGGGGCGAAAAAACCCCAAAUCGGGCACCGUGGGGGUGCAUUUUCCCCCUAAAACGUCGCUAGUUGCGUCUCCCAACACCAGUUGGGUUUCCCAUCUCCUCGUUGGCCAAAAUGGGGUGAAAAAACCCAAAAUCAGCCGCUUUUCAGAUGUGUUUUGCCCAGACCACCACUAGCUGGGUCUCUCAUCUCCUCGUUGGCCAAAAUGAGGGGAAACAACCCAAAAUUGGGCACUUGGGGGGGGGUGUUUGCCACCAAAACCGCAUCAGUUGGGUGUCUCGACCUCUAGCGUGAGUGCUGCCUCUUCAUUGGCCGAAAUGGGGUGAAAAAACCCAAAAUCGGCCACUUUUGAGAUGCGUUUUCCCCCAAAACACCACUAGUCGGGUCUCCCAUCUCCUCGUUGGCCAAAAUAGGGCGAAAAAACCCAAAAUCGGGCGCCGUGGGGGUGCGUUUUCCCCCUAAAACAUCGCUAGUUGGGUCUCCCAACACCAGUUGGGUUUCCCAUCUCCUCGUUGGCCAAAAUGGGGGAAAAAAAAACAAAAUCGGCCACUUUUCAGAUGUGUUCUCCCCCAAAACA